rnacentral:lncRNA from 1 species
CCACAUUCAAAAUUCAAAAACCAAUAAACAUGUAUAUAAACCUCAACAGUCGCAGCGGAAUAUAAACCAGAGUAAAUUCAAAUAUACAUGUUGUGAAUAAAUAAAUUACAUCAACAUAGGUGCAUCUCAAAAAUCCCAACAAACGGGUCAUCUCCAAACAUAACAAAACCAAAGAUAACCUAAUCUAGACCGACACAACGAAGCCUAGAUCAGAGCCGACUAAUUCUAAACACCGAUAUCGGAGAAAGCUCCCGAUAUCCACCAAGCACAAGAACUCACCAAGCAACUAAACCUGCACAACGUCUACCCAUCCAUACAGAUAGGCAGUCGGUCCAUAACAGAUCCACUGGGGGUAAGUAUUACAUUAUCAUAAUCCAAAUAACAGAUAACAUGAAUAUUUCAAUUUAAACAUCAUGCAUUUGAUCAAUAAUAAUAUUCCCACAUCAAUACUUACAUCAAACCCCAAUAUCUCACAUCAAUAAUCACCAAUCACAUGUAUAAGGAACAAAUAUCAAUUCACAAGUAUUCAUUUACAAUCAUCAAUCACAACAUCAUCAAUAAUCAUUCAUCUCAUUUCAUCACCAAUCACAUAUUUCACAUAAGACUCAUGUUAUGAUAUGCACUUAUUGACACAUAAAUGCAUGUGGUACCAAAUCUCAACAAGGUCGUCACCUUCCGAUGCCACUUGCACAUCGUAUGUAAGGCUCACACCUGCCUUACAAUAAUCUCGAAGUAAAAGAGCUCAACCCUUUUACAGCAACAUCGACUAUGAUGCAUGAACAUGUAUAAGAACUCGAUAAUGCGACAACAAUUCACAAUCUCAACCUCAAUAUAUAGGACAACACCCAAUUAUAUUGAUUAUCUCCACAACAUUGCAUUAUCAAGAAACAUGCCCACACAAAUAAAUCAUAGUAUUCACCAUCACACAUCAACAUGAUUAUCAAUAAUCAACAAUGUCAUUCAACAUCAACUAUAUCAUAUAGUUUCACCAUUCCAAAUAAUUCUCAUAUUCCAAGUAAGAGAACAUACAACAUCUCAUGACAAAUAUCAUAUCCAACAUAUAACCAUUCAACAUCAACUAUCACAUAUAGUUUCACCAUUCAAGCAUUCCUUACAUUCUAAGUAAGAUAGCAUACAUAUCUCAUGAUAAACAUCAUAUUCAAUACAAUCAUUCAUUCAUACAACUUCACUUAGUCAUACAAGAAUAAUCUCAAUAACUCACAAGAAAAUUUGCUAAAGAAACAUUUCCGACAAAAAUCCAAAUCAUGUGGCAAACGGCCAACAUUGAUAAUUUUUAAAGCUAGGCAACUUAUUUAAGUUUGAAAUCCUACAAUUCAAUCUUAAUCAAUCAUGUAGCCAAGGAAUUAAGCCUUACAAACUAUUAGAAAUUAGUUCAAAGGAUAGCUCAAGUUCGUAUGAGAAAAACUAAGACAAAACGACAUUUAGCUCAAAACCCGUUUUCACCGAUGCAACUCCGCCCCAAAAUAUUUCUUGAACCAUCAACACAUUCACAUUCUCAAAUACAUAAAUGCAUACUCAAUUAUUCACUCUAAAUACUUCAUUAAGCCCAAUAUCAAGUUUGGAAAAGUUUCACGGCUCAUAGAAAAAGUUACGAUAAAUUUUCACAAAAAUCCACAUGACCCAUGUGUAGUAUUUUAAUCAUAUCUCAAGUUCUAAAAAUCAUUUGGACGUCAAACCAAAACCAAAAGAUAGCUAACAUAAUUGUCUACAACUUUCAUGUUUACCAAAAAGUCCAAAUCAAAAUAGAAAUAUGCGAAAACGAUGCAAGAGCGCAAAACAGGGAAAGCUGUCACUAGGCUGAUCGCCUCGCGAGUAAGGUUACUCGCCAUGGCGAGCAAUUCCAGUGGCUACUCGCCACCAACUCGCCUCGCGAGGAUGACAGUUUGCAGAAAAUUCUGUUUUCGUGAAAAAUCCAUUUUCACCCCAAAAUCCCAAUUUUUGACCUCCUAAUACCCAAAUUGAUUCCAAAGGUUUACCCAAAUGUUUUUAGACAUGAAAAGAUACUCAAAUCCAUAUACAAACUUGAAUCAAACAUCAUUUUAAACAAAAUCACCAUUUGACCCAUUUUCUCAAAACAACAACAACAUCUCAUUUUUCAUCAUCAAUCCAUAAUUAUGUAUACCCAAGUCGUAAUUCACCCACAACAACAUCAGUUAAUAGCAAUAACCUUAAUGGAACAUGAAUCACAUCUCAUUUUAACAACAACAUAUCAAGAUUCACUAAUUGAGUAUAAUUUCAUAGCUUGACAUUUAUACAUACUUUGAAACAUGUAAUUUCAUCCACAAACAUACCAUAAUCCUCAAUUCAUGCACAAGAAAAUAGCAUCACAACAAGAGCACGAAUUUAACAUCAAUUGUUCAUCAACCCAUUUUCAUACAACCAUGAGAAAUGAAAAUUUUUGAAUUGAUUAUGAUGAAAACAAACCCCCUUACCUUAGAUGAUGUUUAAUCUUAACUUAGGCUUCACUUUAGCUCCUAAUUGCUUCAAUCUUCAAGUUUCCCCCUUCCUCUAACCUUGUUCUUCCUUCACCUCUCACUUCUCUCUCUACCUCUCUCUAACUUAGUGAAAUGAAAAGGAAUGAAUGAAUUUGCUCUCACAACCCUAAUGUUAUUUCCCCCUAGUGGGCUUAAC